rnacentral:rRNA from 1 species
CAAGGUCUCCGUUGGUGAACCAGCGGAGGGAUCAUUGCUGGAACGCGCCCCAGGCGCACCCAGAAACCCUUUGUGAACUUAUACCUUUUGUUGCCUCGGCGCUGCUGGUCUCUAGUAGGCCCCUCACUUCGGUGAGGAAAAGGCACGCCGGCGGCCAAAUCAACUCUGUUUUUACACUGAAACUCUGAGAAAAAACACAAAUGAAUCAAAACUUUCAACAACGGAUCUCUUGGUUCUGGCAUCGAUGAAGAACGCAGCGAAAUGCGAUAAGUAAUGUGAAUUGCAGAAUUCAGUGAAUCAUCGAAUCUUUGAACGCACAUUGCGCCCUCUGGUAUUCCGGAGGGCAUGCCUGUUCGAGCGUCAUUUCAACCCUCAAGCAUUGCUUGGUGUUGGGGCACUGCUUCUAACGAAGCAGGCCCUGAAAUCUAGUGGCGAGCUCGCCAGGACCCCGAGCGCAGUAGUUAAACCCUCGCUCUGGAAGGCCCUGGCGGUGCCCUGCCGUUAAACCCCCAACUUCUGAAAAUUUGACCUCGGAUCAGGUAGGAAUACCCGCUGAACUUAAGCA